UAGUUGGUGGGGUAAUGGCCUACCAAGGCGACGAUCAGUAGCGGGUCUGAGAGGAUGAUCCGCCACACUGGAACUGAGACACGGUCCAGACUCCUACGGGAGGCAGCAGUGGGGAAUUUUGGACAAUGGGCGAAAGCCUGAUCCAGCCAUUCCGCGUGAGUGAAGAAGGCYUUCGGGUUGUAAAGCUCUUUCAGCUGGAACGAAACGGUACGCUCUAACAUAGCGUGCUAAUGACGGUACCAGCAGAAGAAGCACCGGCUAACUACGUGCCAGCAGCCGCGGUAAUACGUAGGGUGCGGGCGUUAAUCGGAAUUACUGGGCGUAAAGCGUGCGCAGGCGGAUUGUUAAGCAAGAUGUGAAAUCCCCAGGCUUAACCUGGGAAUGGCAUUUUGAACUGGCAGUCUAGAGUGCGUCAGAGGGGGGUGGAAUUCCACGUGUAGCAGUGAAAUGCGUAGAUAUGUGGAGGAACACCAAUGGCGAAGGCAGCCCCCUGGGAUGACACUGACGCUCAUGUACGAAAGCGUGGGUAGCAAACAGGAUUAGAUACCCUGGUAGUCCACGCCCUAAACGAUGUCAACUGGUUGUUGGGGGAGUGAAAUCCCUUAGUAACGAAGCUAACGCGUGAAGUUGACCGCCUGGGGAGUACGGUCGCAAGAUUAAAACUCAAAGGAAUUGACGGGGACCCGCACAAGCGGUGGAUGAUGUGGAUUAAUUCGAUGCAACGCGAAAAACCUUACCUACCCUUGACAUGUCCAGAAUCCUGCAGAGAUGCGGGAGUGCCCGAAAGGGAAUUGGAACACAGGUGCUGCAUGGCUGUCGUCAGCUCGUGUCGUGAGAUGUUGGGUUAAGUCCCGCAACGAGCGCAACCCUUAUCAUUAGUUGCUACGCAAGGGCACUCUAAUGAGACUGCCGG
rnacentral:rRNA from 1 species